rnacentral:rRNA from 1 species
UGCCAGCAGCCGCGGUAAGACGAAGGUGUCAACCGUUGUUCGGACUCACUGGGCAUAAAGCGCACGUAGGCGGACAUGUAGGUCAGGUGUGAAAUCCCUCGGCCUAACCGAGGAACUGCGCCCGAUACUGUGUGUCUUGAGGGCAGGAGGGGAUCGUGGAAUUCCUGGUGGAGCGGUGAAAUGCGUUGAUAUCAGGAGGAACACCGGCGGCGAAGGCGACGAUCUGGCCUGCUUCUGACGCUGAGGUGCGAAAGCUAGGGGAGCAAACGGGAUUAGAUA